GAUUCAUAAUAACUUUUCGAAUCGCAUGGCCUUGCGCCGGCGAUGGUUCAUUCAAAUUUCUGCCCUAUCAACUUUCGAUGGCAGGGUCUUGGCCUGCCAUGGUUACAACGGGUAACGGAGGGUUAGGGCUCGACCCCGGAGAAGGAGCCUGAGAAACGGCUACUACAUCCAAGGAAGGCAGCAGGCGCGCAAAUUACCCAAUCCCGAUUCGGGGAGGUAGUGACAAUAAAUACUGAUACAGGGCUCUUUUGGGUCUUGUAAUUGGAAUGAGUACAAUUUAAAUCCCUUAACGAGGAACAAUUGGAGGGCAAGUCUGGUGCCAGCAGCCGCGGUAAUUCCAGCUCCAAUAGCGUAUAUUAAAGUUGUUGCAGUUAAAAAGCUCGUAGUUGAACCUUGGGCCUGGCUGGCCGGUCCGCCUCACCGCGUGCACUGGUUCGGCCGGGCCUUUCCCUCUGGGGAUCCGCAUGCUCUUCACUGAGUGUGUUGGGGAACCAGGACUUUUAC
rnacentral:rRNA from 1 species